rnacentral:lncRNA from 10 species
AUUGCCUCAGAGGCAUGAGAACAGAGGUGGACCUAGCUUAGAUGGAUGAAAAACAGAGAAUAUCUGCACCUGGUCACACCUGGGCACCGCAGUGGGUGUAUUCCUAUGGUUCUCACUCCAUCUUUAAAAGGGCCUCAGCUGGAUACAGCCCAACUGAGGAGAAAUUCAAAAGGAGUCAACACCACGGCCACUGACAAUCACAAAUAUCCCAAAGGAAGAAAUGUAGCAGUAUUUCCGGGGCAUCCUAUCCUAAGACCAAGACUGAAAGAAUUAGAGAUAGGACUCUUCUCAAAGGUUAUGGUCAUCAGGAAGGAUCUGAGGUGAAAUUGUUCUUAUGAAAGCUAACCUGGCAGGAGUUUUUCCAGUAGUGGGCAUUUAAGUCACCUGGGAAAGAGGGCUGAGGACAUUCUCUCGCCUGGCUUCCAGUGACUCCGGCACAGUCCAGGUCAAUCUGUCUCUCUCAAUCUUCAUUUUUGCAUGUUCUUCCAUC